rnacentral:rRNA from 1 species
AUGGCGGAAACUGUUGCCGCCGCCGCUAAGAGCGCGGCAAUUUUUGUGGGGAAGUCAGCGGCACAUGCGGCGAUAGCCUAUCUCAUCAAGAAAGCCCUUGGCCGCCUCUCGGCGGAAGAUGAGGACCUGCGCGGAAGGCUGACGGCGAAGCUGCCGGCCAUCGAAGCGGUCUUCGGCGCGGCCGAUCAGACGCCGGUCCAGGAGGACCCUGUCCUGGGCCCAUGGCUGUGGCAGUUCCGAGAUGCCAUCCAGGAGGCCGAGGAUGCGCUCGGCGAGCUGGAGUUUCUGGAUCUGGAGAGGCAGGCCAAGGACCGGAGAGCCAGGGAUGCCAAAGAUUGGAGAGUGAGGGUAUCCUCCCGCCUCCCUAGCAUCAGCACAGGGCUCCGGCGAUCUCUCAGCGCCGCUUGCGGCGGCGGCUCUACCAAGGGUUUGAAAGGUGCCCUCAAGAGGUUGGAUUUAGUACUUGGCAAUGCAGAUAAAUUCCUCGCAACCAUGAGCCAUCGACUCCAACCUUCUUGUUCUGAUAACCAAGGGCACCAUGGUGAUCUUGCCAGCAGGCGUGAGACAACGAGGGAGUUGACGACGGUUGCCUUCGGCCGGCGGAGCGAAAAGAAUGCGAUAAUUGAAUGGCUGGGGGUUCAAGCUACACGGCAGGUUACAGAUCUGGCAUUGUCCGUGUGCGCAAUUGUUGGCGACGGUGGUAUGGGGAAAACAACCCUGGCGCAGUUUGUCUGCCAAGAUAAGGAAGUGCAGGAUCAUUUUGGUGGUAUGAUCAUCUGGGUGCACAUCUCUAGGCAUUUUGAUCCUAAAGUAUUGGUCCGAAAGAUCAUGGGAUCAAUCAACCGAGACAAAGCUAGCGCCCAGGCUUUCGACCCCCUGCAAUCAGAUCUUAUUAAAGAGCUGCUGACUAAAAGGUUUCUGCUGGUUUUGGAUGAUGCAUGGGAGGAUAUGGUGCAUGAGAGAUGGGAACAAUUUUUAGGCCCAUUAAGAAAUAUGGCCCCAAUGGGAGGCAGGAUCUUGCUCACAACCCGAAUGGCAUCAGUGGCUGAUGCUGUCAAACGUCAAAUCCCUGCUGGAUUUAAAUGUUUGGAGCUGAGGGGUUUAGAUCAGGAAGACACUUUGAUGCUCUUCAAUCAUCAUGCAUAUGGUGACUCGACUCACAGCGAUAAAUCGGACUCAGAACUUCGGUUGAUUGGUGAACAGAUUGCCAGAAAUCUUAGAGGUUGUCCCUUCAUAGCAAAAGUAGUUGGUCAGCAACUGAGAGAUAACACAGAUUAUAGUAAAUGGAAAAACGUCUUAAAUCAAGGUAUCCACCAGUUUGAUGAAAUUGUGCCUAGAAUUAUGGAGAUGCUCAGGUUGAGCUACCAAAAUCUGACUUAUGAAGUGCAGCUUUGCUUUCGGUAUUGCAGCAUAUUUCCUCCUCAUUACAAGUUCAAGGUGGAAGAAGUGAUUGAGAUGUGGGUGAGUUCAGGUUUGAUUUUGCAAAGAGAGAAUGGCCUAAAGAAGCAGGAGGAUAUUGCUAGAGGGCACUUCAAUACUCUGUGCCGAAAAUCAUUUCUUUCAUUGGUACCCCGAGAACUGCAUGCUGAUCCUUCCGAUGAUUACUAUGUCAUGCAUGACUUGAUGUAUGACUUGGCCUGUUUGGUUUCAAGUGAGGAAUGUUCAAGGUUUCGAGUUACUGACCACAACACCAACAUAUUCCCUAAAGUGCGCCACUUAUACAUUGAAGGCGUAAGUUCUAAAAGUAUUGAUAUAAUUUCACGGUCCAAUUACCUACGAACUCUUAUCAUAUCACAUGAGGAAAAUUCCAUUCAGCAAGAGCUUGUGCAUGAUUUGAAGAAAGCUAUAAAAGGCAGAACAAGCUUACGGCUCUUAAAGUUAUGUGGAAAUGGUAUUUUUGGAAUGAACAAGGCUAUUGCUGAACUGAAGCACCUUAGGUACAUCUCUAUGUCUGCUACCGAUGAACCCAAUCUCUGUAACUUAUUUAAACUCUAUCACCUGGAGGUCCUUCGAAUACAGAAGAUAGAGAAAGAAGAAAUAGUGAGCUUUAUCGAUAUAAGUAACCUACCUCACUUGCAGAAACUGCAUCUUCCUAAAAAUGCAUCAUCCAGGAUACCCCACAUUGGAAGUCUGACUACUCUUAGAGAGUUAAAUGGGUUCAGUGUGAAAAAAAAAGAUGGCCACAAAAUAACUGAGCUGAGAGAUUUGAGGAAUCUUCAAAAGGUCAUUGUGCUCGAUGUCCAAAAUGUUAGUGAUUACAAUGAAGCUUCUUCCGCUGAAUUGGAUAAGAAGACAAAUAUGAAGGUGUUAUCUUUUGAAUGGUCUUCUGAUCAGGCUAGAAUUGAUGACCGGAUUCUUAAUAAGCUUGUUCCGGACAGUAAUCUCAAGCAUUUGGUCAUUUCUGGAUAUAACGGCAAUCAACCUCCAAUGUGGAUGGAAAAUCCAUACCUUUCUAAUUUGGUACAUCUGAAGAUUGAUGGAUGCGUGGAAUGGGAUAAACUCCCUCCUCUGGGCAGCCUAUGGACGCUGAAGCAUGUCAUUCUGGAGAACCUCCCAAAAUUGAAGUAUGUUGGUAGGUCAUCCUACCAUUCUGGUGCUUACAGUUACAGUUAUAGGGGAAAAUGGACAAAAGGUCCUGGUUCUGAUGGAUUGCCUCCUCAUCUAAUUACAUUUGUUGUGAAAGAUUGCCCAGACUUGUACGAGCUACCUGACCUGCCUUUCAGCCUGCAGCAUUUGCAGAUAGAUGCCGUUGGAGUGUCUAACCUGCCAACCAUGUGUGAUCACAAGGGAUCAAGAGACGUUUCUGCAGUCGAGGCGCAGCUCUCCACUCUCCAUAUAGGAUCUAGCGAUUUUCUUAUUUCUCUAAAUGGAUGUUUCUUACAAGAGGAACACUACAGAGCUCUCACCUUCUUAAAACUGUUCCGUUGCAGUGAGUUAAGGUCCCUUCCAGUUGCAGCAGAUUUUGGAAGAAUAUCUAAGCUGGAGGGUAUUGAAAUUAUUGAAUGCAACAGUUUGUUGUCCUUGGGUGGGCUAGGAGCCCUUUCUUCACUUACAGAACUGAAAAUACAGCAUUGCGGCAAUCUGGUUACUACUUCAUUGUCAGGUUCCCUGCCAAUAUCAGUGAGAAGUCCCCAUCUGAAACUUGAGACACUGGCAAUUGAUGACCAUCGUUUACUUCUUCUGAGUCCACUAACAAACUUGUGCCUCACUAAAAGGCUUAUCAUAUCAGGCAGGUCAGAAAUGGCCGAGUUGCCUGAGGAAUGGCUGUUGCAGAAUAGUUAUCACCUAGAGCAUAUAGAGAUAAGCAACGCGCAACUGUUGCAAUCUCUGCCUCUGAAGAUGCAUAACAUGCAUGCCCUCCGGAGUCUUUUUCUACAUGACACUCACAUUCUUCAGUCUCUCCCGCUCAUGCCCCCAAACCUCUGGGUCCUCGUCAUCCAUGGUUGCCACACCGAGUUGAAUGAGAAAUGCCAGGUCGGUGGUUCUGAGUGGACGAAGAUAAGUCGGAUCCCUAAUCGUAAGAUAUCUCCCAAGGAAAAUGAUAGACAUUAA